UACAGAGGUCUCAAGCGUUGUUCGGAUUCACUGGGCGUAAAGGGUGCGUAGGUGGUGAGGUAAGUCGGAUGUGAAAGCUCGGAGCUCAACUCCGAAAUGGCAUUGGAAACUACCUUGCUCGAGGGUUGGAGGGGGGACUGGAAUGCUUGGUGUAGCAGUGAAAUGCGUAGAUAUCAGGAGGAACACCUGUGGUGUAGACAGCUUACUGGACCAUUUCUGACGCUGAGACACGAAAGCGUGGGUAGCAAACAGG
rnacentral:rRNA from 1 species